CAGCAAUGACACGUGAACUGAUACACAACAUGUGAUCUCAGGGCAAUGGGAAUCCUGUCUUUAAAUGGAAAGAAACUAGAAAGGCGACAAGUGGGACGGAAAACAACACGUAUGGAAAUAUGUGGAUAAGCAGAAGCAAGAACUUUACUAAGUUGUGAACGGAUAUGUAGACCAUGAUGUCCAGUGAAAGGAAGGCUAAAGUAAACAAUUUUCUUGGAACAUGUAUGGACCUUGUCCUUGGUGUUGUAAAUCCUGUCAAGAAAUGUCUUUAUGCAACUAUCUAUAAGUACUUUAGAAUAACCAUUGGAAGAAAAGGUUUUUUUAAAAUUUUCCAUUUCAGACUGAAAAUUUAGAUAUGUAAGAAGAACAAAUAUUGAAAUAUCGGGAUAUAAGAGAGAAAAGGAGACCUUUUUUGUACAUCAUUGGAAUAAAGCUAUCAAAGUUUGUGAAUAAACCAGUUGAAGUGCAUUUGUGAUGGACUGAGGUCGUGAAUGAGCCAGUGGCGUGCUGGGUACUAUUUUUCUGGGGGGGCCAGUGGGCUAUCAACCAAUAUGCGCCCCUAUAAUGUGACGCUUGAUAAACGAGGGCCGAAGGCACAAGCCGAGCGCCGCAGGUGCGAGGUGUUCCUAGGGGGGUCCGGGGGCAUGCCCCCCCCGGAAAAUUUUUAAAUUUAGAGUCUCUGAAAUGCCAUUUCCUGGACUUUGGGGGGAAGAUUUGACAGAAAUCUGAUGGUCAGGAAACGAGAUUAUAACGAGUCGAAAUUUGCAAUUUGGUUACAAUUUCCGUAGAGGAACUUAAAUUGGUACGGUAUCAGUUUUACUAUAAAUCUUUAUUUUAGAUUAAUUGUGGAGGAAUAAAGUCACUCGUUGAGUAUAUUUGUAUAAAAUAUUUUGAUUUAUAAUAAACGCC